AGAGCACAGAAGGAUGUGGCCUUCCAACACAGCACACGUCAGAGCAAGCUGUCAGAGGUGAUGCAAGAACCCAAGAACAAGGAAGAUUUUAACUUGAGAGCUGUGAAAGGGAAUCUAGUUUCAGCAGAUGUGGUAACUACAAAACAUGCCCGUGAAGAAGAUCCACUACCUCUCAAGGUCCUCCAAAAAAACAAAACCAUACCUGUAAGGAUGUUCUUGAAGGCUUCUUCUACAUUUGUUGAAUCCAGAGCAGAAGUUUCAAUAAAAGAUAAGUUAUUUUUCUCUGUAA